UGGGGAAUUUUGGACAAUGGGCGCAAGCCUGAUCCAGCCAUGCCGCGUGAGUGAAGAAGGCCUUCGGGUUGUAAAGCUCUUUCGGCCGGAACGAAAUCGCACCCGUGAAUAUCGGGUGUGGAUGACGGUACCGGAGUAAGAAGGACCGGCUAACUACGUGCCAGCAGCCGCGGUAAUACGUAGGGUCCGAGCGUUAAUCGGAAUUACUGGGCGUAAAGCGUGCGCAGGCGGUUUUGUAAGCCAGAUGUGAAAUCCCCGGGCUUAACCUGGGAAUGGCAUUUGGGACUGCAAGGCUUGAGUGCGGCAGAGGGGGGUGGAAUUCCACGUGUAGCAGUGAAAUGCGUAGAGAUGUGGAGGAACACCGAUGGCGAAGGCAGCCCCCUGGGUCGACACUGACGCUCAUGCACGAAAGCGUGGGGAGCAAACAGGAUUAGAUACCCCUGUAGUCC
rnacentral:rRNA from 1 species